rnacentral:rRNA from 1 species
UACGGAGGGUGCAAGCGUUAUCCGGAUUCACUGGGUUUAAAGGGUGCGUAGGAGGGCAGGUAAGUCAGUGGUGAAAUCUUUGGGCUUAACCCGAAAACUGCCAUUGAUACUAUCUGUCUUGAAUGCGGUGGAGGUGAGCGGAAUAUGUCAUGUAGCGGUGAAAUGCUUAGAUAUGACAUAGAACACCGAUUGCGAAGGCAGCUCGCUACACCUGCAUUGACUCUGAGGCACGAAAGCGUGGGGAUCAAACAGGA